rnacentral:piRNA from 1 species
CCAGGGAGCCCUGGGAUGGUAGAGA